CUGCUUUGCCAGUACAUAUGCUAGUAUUACAACACAGACUGAUCAGCGUGGCCCCUGCACAAGGAUGAUGCACAAAUUCAUGAAGUGUCCCAUAUUUUC
rnacentral:snRNA from 1 species